rnacentral:sRNA from 1 species
GCCGUGCGUGGUGGUCGGUGCUUGUAAUCCCAGGGGCUUGGGAGGCUGAUGUAGGAGAAUCUCAAGUUUGAGGGCAACCUGAGUAAUUUAGGGAGAUCCUGUAUCAA